rnacentral:lncRNA from 1 species
CCGGCCGUUAGCUCGCCCUCUCCCGCAGCCCCGCCCCCUCGCGCCGGCCGUUAGUUCGCACUCUCCCGCAGCCCUGUCCUUUCGCGCUGGCCGUUAGUUCGCCCCUGGGUGCACGCAGCUGCUUCGGGCCGGUCUCUGCCCAAGCGGGGAGGGCGGGGAAGGGCAGGGUGGUGGAGGUUUCCUGCACCUCUCCCGGCUAGUGCGCAGUUUUUUCAUUGCUUUCGCCCUGGGAGAACAAAGGAGACUUCGUAAGACUGCAGGGUGGCUUUGCUGCUGGUCGUGCGCUGUCCUCGGCUAAGCUCCGGGCCUUGAGUAUUUGUAUCUGUGAGACAGCCGGAGGUGCUGGCAGACCUACCUGCUGUAAUCGCACAAAGAAAAUCCUUUGAAGCAGUUUUGAAGGAGAGAAGUCCUGUAUAUCAGGCUGACUUUGGUGUCUCCGUGCCUCCUGCAAUAUGAGGAGAUCCUACCACGACUCAGGAUGAUGGCUUUCAAGAAUACCUGGAAAUGUAAGACUGAAAUAAUCUUAGGCUGAUGACAUGUUUUAUGGGGAGUGUUGGCAUUGCUUCUAGAGUAACCAGCUCUACAGCCACUGAACACUUUUUGCCAAGAAGCGAAACAGAUAUAGAUACAUCACAGUGUUCAGGACACCACAACUGGAUUUCUUCACAGAGCAUUUACUACAGAAGCACCACUUCAUCGUGAAGGUGAUGAGCCAUGACUAAAGUCAACAAAAUUGGUGGCCUGUACCAGUAAACCUGUAGGGACUACAUGGUGCUAGUCUUCUGCACAGGGUAUCACACCUACUGUCUACUGUCAUCCAUGUUUCAUUUUCAG